rnacentral:rRNA from 1 species
UACGUAGGGGGCGAGCGUUGUCCGGAAUGACUGGGCGUAAAGGGCGUGUAGGCGGCCAUGUAAGUCCGGAGUGAAAGUCCGCUUUUCAAGGGCGGAAUUGCUUUGGAGACUGCGCGGCUUGAGUACAGAAGAGGUAAGCGGAAUUCCCGGUGUAGCGGUGAAAUGCGUAGAGAUCGGGAGGAACACCAGUGGCGAAGGCGGCUUACUGGGCUGUAACUGACGCUGAGGCGCGAAAGCGUGGGGAGCGAAC